GGUUUGGUAGUUCAGUUGGUUAGAAUACCUGCCUGUCACGCAGGGGGUCGCGGGU
rnacentral:tRNA from 1 species